GAUGAUCGCUGCUGCGUGGAUAAGUCAUGCAAGUCAAGGGGGCUCGCAAGAGCAACCGGCAGACGAGGUAGUAAUAAUCAAGUACGCACUCUGGAGUCGGGCAUAGCUAGCCGAAAGGCUAGGUAAUUCCCGAUGGUCCCGCAAGGGUAAAGUUUUUCGCUCCGGAAGCGGCUUGAUCGGUAUCAGCUAGUUGGUAAGGUAACGGCUUACCAAGGCUAUGACGCCUAGGGGACCUGAGAGGGUGACCCCCAUCGAUGGAACUGAGAUACGGUCCAUACACCUACGGGUGGCUGCAGACGAGAAUAUUCGACAAUGGACGAAAGUCUGAUCGAGCUGACGCCGCGUGGAGGAUAAGUGCUUCGGCAUGUAAACUCCUUUUGCCAGGGAAAAAGUCUAUUGAUUGU
rnacentral:rRNA from 1 species